CAAUAGCGUAUAUUAAAGCUGUUGCGGUUAAAAAGCUCGUAGUUGGAUUUCUGUCAAGGACAACUGGUCCGCCCUCCGGGUGAGCACAUAGUUUGGUCUUGGCAUCUUGCUGGAAACUGUUGCUGCGCUUGGUUGUGUGGUGCAGCUUUCAGCACUUUCACUUUGAGGAAAUUGGAGUGUUUCAAGCAGGCACAUGCCUUUGGACACAGUAGCAUGGAAUAAUUAGAUUGGGCUUUUGCUCCAACUUGUUGGUUCCUGGAGCUGAGGUGAGAAUCAAUGGGGAUUGUUGGGGGCAUCCGAAGUUAGCCGUCAGAGGUGAAAUUCUUGGAUCUGCUAAAGACGGACAACUGCGAAAGCGUUUGCCCAGGAUGUUUUCAUUGA
rnacentral:rRNA from 1 species